CCAAAGGUCCCUCUUACGGACAACCUUUGAUGCUUAAGUGAGUGUAUAUGUAUAAAAACUGGCAGCGAGUUUAACAUAAUUACAGGAGCUACUAUGAUUUUGCCAAAAACCUACACAUUGAAACAUAAACAAAAUCAAUGUCAUUGUGAUUUUUCAACUCAAGGAUCUCAUAUCUCUCACAACUUUAAGCUCUAUGAGGUGAGACUUGAUAGCAUAAAAGAAUUUGAUAAUUGAAAUUUAAUAUACCAAGCCAAUUAGUACUCCGAAAAGUCUACGCAAAAGCCACAACACUAAACAGAUGCAAUUAUCAUAACCCCAAAAGGGAGACACAAUGAAGCUGCAAACAAAGUUACUUAUUGCUUUUACAUCAUCAUGAUAUGCCUUGGUUCAGUACUAACAUCAGCAAUUAAAAAGGCCACACAAUAAGAGAUGUUCUCAUGGUCAUAAUUGUAAUUACAGAGCUCAAUAAUGGAAGUAUCAAAUCAUAACAAAGAGCCCUUCUAUUUCUUUCCACUUUUCUUGAGUCCAGAUCCUCCAAAAGAUCCCUUCUGUUGUGCCUUAGCUUUCAACUCCUUUAGGGCCUGUUCAAUGCAAGCAACAUAAUCAGGUAAAAAUAUGAUUAUCAUUUUAACAGAAAAAAUGAAUGUAGUAGAUAAAAAACUGUAUAUCUCACCUUCUCCUCAUCCUUUUUCUUUUGGAUGUUAGCCAUGUCAACCUACAAAAUACCAAUACAAACAUAUUGCAAGAUCAUUACAAGUUUCAGAAGGAACCAUAUGGUUGUUCUAAGCGUGUAUUGUAAAAGGCAACAAAAAAGAAAUCAUGUACCAAUUAAGGUUGAAACUUUAAGUUUCACAACAAACAAAGCAAUGAUCUUAAUAACAACAAUUAAACAGAUAAAUGGUCUCAACCUUUACCAAAUAAUGACUGUCUACCUCUCCUCACUCCCAAGGGAAUACCUAACUCGUCGGCACAUUGCUAUACAGCAAAACCACUCUUACCCUGCCGCCUCUCCUAUAUUCACACGAUAUUGGGGGCAGUUGCCUUAAAGUAUUAGGGGAAGUGAUGAAAAAGAAUGAAACUCGUAUUCACACGAUUCAGUAACCAAAAGGAUAGAAGAAUGGUUUACAAAACAAAAAAGUAUUCACUCAUGACUUUCAAAGAUCCCAGCUUCCUUAGGAUUCUACAUCAUAAUUGAUUUCAUAUAAUCACUGAACAUUCAUAUAUACUCCUCUCCUAUGUAUAUCUCAUUCUUUCCUCCUAAUUCUGUUAUACAUUACAAACCUGAAUAUCCUAUCGUCGGUCAAUAACAGAACAUGGUAUUUAUGAUCAUAAAACAAAAUAGUUGAAUUCCAUUACUUCAAACAACACAGUUAUAUCUCUUCCUAAUCCUACAAAGUAGCGAUGAAUAAAAUACUAUUGUAACCGGGUUGUUGAAUUCUAAUGGUUCCAACAGAAUGAGCAAAGAAACAUAAAUACAAUUGAAUUAUCAGCUAUAAAGAAAACCCAUAUGGAAAAUUAGCCAACCCUGAUACCAAGGGACAAAAAGUAAACUGGUGUCACCAUCAUCAUCGAGUUCUAUCUAUGAUCAUUGAAUUAACAUAAAGAAAUUUUGAAUUCCAUAACAAAAAUACCCAAUAAAACAACAAAAGCUCAAAUCAAACUGCACCAACAUUAAAUUUUCAUUCUUUCACAACACAAUUCAAAUACAAUAAAUAAACAAAUAAACAAAACAAUAUAACAUGAAUAAAAAAAAAGAUUUCUAACAAAAAUUGAAAUACCUCAUCGUAAUCCUUUUUAUCAGACUUUGGUUUCUUCAAAGGCUUAGCUUUUCCACCUAAAAUCACAACAAAAAGAACAAAAGAAUCAAUUACACAAAUCAAAAAUUACAAUCUUUAAUCAAUUUUAACAGAUCUCUAAUUUAGGGUUCUUCACAUAAUAAAUCGAUUUCACAAAAUCUUAAAGAAAAACAAUAAUUAAAUAAGUUGAUGUGUAAAAGAAUGAAUAGAAUUUGAUGAAUGAAUGGAAGAUUGAAGGUUACCUUGCUUGGUCGACAUGGUUGCGAUGAAGAGUUAGGGUUUCGGUCUGAAUACAAAAACGACAACGAAAAUAACAGCAAACGACAAUGAAAGACCUUACCCUCACUAAAUUAUUUUCUCGUGUAUUCGCUUCUAUUUAUAUAGCUAAACGACGAACCUCAACCACCGUUUUCUAUAAGCUACAUAUUUU
rnacentral:lncRNA from 1 species